UACGUAGGUGGCAAGCGUUGUCCGGAAUUAUUGGGCGUAAAGGGCUCGUAGGCGGUUUCUUAAGUCUGAUGUGAAAGCCCACAGCUCAACUGUGGAGGGUCAUUGGAAACUGGGGAACUUGAGUGCAGAAGAGGAGAGUGGAAUUCCACGUGUAGCGGUGAAAUGCGUAGAUAUGUGGAGGAACACCAGUGGCGAAGGCGACUCUCUGGUCUGUAACUGACGCUGAGGAGCGAAAGCGUGGGGAGCAAACAGG
rnacentral:rRNA from 1 species